rnacentral:rRNA from 1 species
GACGUAGGGGCGAGCGUUGUCCGGAUUUAUUGGGCGUAAAGAGCUCGUAGGCGGUUGCGUAAGUCGGAUGUGAAAACUCAGGCUCAACCCUGAGACGCCAUCCGAAUACUGGCGCUGACUAGAAUCCAGUAGGGGAGUGUGGAAUUCCUGGUGUAGCGGUGAAAUGCGCAGAUAUCAGGAGGAACACCCAUGGCGAAGGCAGCACUCUGGGCUGGAAUUGACGCUGAGGAGCGAAAGCAUGGGUAGCGAACAGG